UUGACCUCGGAUCAGGUAGGGAUACCCGCUGAACUUACA
rnacentral:rRNA from 1 species